rnacentral:rRNA from 1 species
AGUGAACGCUGGCGGCAGGCCUAACACAUGCAAGUCGAACGGCAGCACAGUAAGUGCCAGCUCUUACGGGUGGCGAGACGCGGACGGGUGACGUCUACACCGGUCCUUACUUUUUCGUGGGGGAUAACGUAGGGAAACUUACACUACUACCGCACACCACCUGCGGGCGAAAGCCGGGCAUCUUUCGACCUUUCGCGUUUGCAUGUGCCGAUGUCGGAUUAGCUAGUUGGAGGGGUAAAGGACGACCAAGGCGACGAUCCGUAGCUGGUCUGAGAGGAUGAUCAGCCACACUGGAACUGAGACACGGUCCAGACUCCUACGGGAGGCAGCAGUGGGGAAUAUUGGACAAUGGGCGAAAGCCUGAUCCAGCAAUGCCGCGUGGGUGAAGAAGGCCUUCGGGUUGUAAAGCACUUUUGUUGGGAAAGAAAAGCUGGGGGUUAAUACGCCGCUGUGCUGACGGUACCGAAAGAAUAAGCACCGGCUAACUACGUG